UACGAAGGACCCGAGCGUUAUCCGGAUUUAUUGGGUUUAAAGGGUGCGUAGGCGGAUUAGUAAGUCAGUGGUGAAAGCCCAUCGCUUAACGGUGGAACUGCCAUUGAUACUGCUAGUCUUGAGUAUGGUUGAGGUGGGCGGAAUGUGUCAUGUAGCGGUGAAAUGCUUAGAUAUGACCCAGAACACCAAUUGCGAAGGCAGCUCGCUAAACCAUAACUGACGCUGAGGCACGAAAGCGUGGGUAGCAAACAGGG
rnacentral:rRNA from 1 species